GAUGGCUACAAAAAGCAAACAGAUUAUUUGUAUUACAAUUUCUGGAUUUUUAACCUCUAGACUCAUUACAGGCCAGCCAAUUAGUCUGCAUACUUUGCAAAGCACUGCAUAUCCUGAAAGGCAAUCCUAGACAAGCUCCUGCAGCUGCCAUGUGGGAUCUCCCUUCCAAGAACCAGUGCAGAGGAAUGACUCACCACCAUACAACCACUUUUUACUAUCUCAGUUAGACUUUUUAAAUACAGAACCGAUCCUCAGAAGACUGUGCAUCUUUAAGCAGAUUCAAACUCAGACUGAUCAAUUUUCAUUCAUUUUUGAGGAUGUAAUGAAAAUGGCUUCAUCGUUCACCACUAGCAGAAUUCAUUUUUUAAUCACUUUGCAAAGAGUUCACAAUGCCAUUUCUCAAUCAUUAGUGUUUAGAUAAGCAAAUGGAACUAGCAUCAGAAGACAAUUUUUCCAUCAGUAGAUGCAAAUAUUUUAUGUUUAAAAAGAUAAACUUUGGAAAACAACAAUACCCAUAAAAGGAGGCUUUUGUGUUCUAUCACAUAAAAGGAGGCUUUUGUGUUCAGUGGUGUUUCAGCACCACUGAAAUUGUUCUACAGCUUUCUGUAGGUUAUUCUUUUUUUGGUCCUCCUCCUCCUUGUUUAAUGUUUUGUUAAUGAAAAGUUACUUGAAGGGAGAAGAUAUCAAGCCAAUAGCAUUCUUUAUAAGCAACACUGCAGCGUUGCUGGCUAUGUGUGCCACUUAACAAAGCCAGUAAUGUCAACACGUGCCAUCUAAGCAGAUAAUUAUCUGGAACUGCCUCUUCAUGAGCCAGUAUAGUGACAGCAGUCACAUACCACAUGCAGAAAAACACCACCAAGCUAGUGGAGUGCAAAAUCUGAUCCAAUGGUAAACACAGUACUAAAACUAAUUAAAAACAAAGGGACCUCUUGUGCGACAGAACUGCUCAACAAUGCAGACUCACCUGGAAUCCUUCAAUUCAGUAAAAAGUAGGGACCCCUCAUCACUUUUCAAAUCGCUGCCAUUCAUAAAUACUUCGCUGGCCUUCGACUCUGUCACAGCGUGCUGCUCCGACUCUGUACACAUUAAGCUCCGUGCAGUCUGCACACAACCCUCUGUCUCCCCUUUGACUUCCUGGGUUAAGUCAAUGCCAUUUAGCUUUCCUGAAGGGGUGGGGGAAAGAAAAACAACAUAACACAGCUUCAGGAACAGUGCUGCCAUUCUAAAUGAAUAAAAUACAAGUGUCAAAUUGACCUUCCUUGCCAAAAAUCUGAGGCACUCUGUUUCAAUACAGAAAUCCAUUUAUGGACAAGCUGGCUCUAACAACGUAGCUGUUUUCCAUCUUUAAAAAUACACUCAUGCAGAGUGUAUUUUUCUCACACAAAUCGUUUCACAUUUCAUCAUUUUGGAUUUCUUCCGUGGUCUGGAAUUGGGCUUAAGAAGAAAGAUCUUAAGUAAAAAGACUCUGUGGUACUUCUGGGACUUCUGUCUGUUAACCACAAUUGAUGCCAUUAACUGAUUUGACAUUUUUAACACACCUUAAACAUCACUGAGACACUGACAGCAACUUAGAUCUGACUCAUCACAUUUCCUUACCGGGUUGAUCAGCCUUCUCAAGUCCCAGCUCUUCCUCCUCUUCAAUAUCCUCUCCCUCCAUGACCUCACAGGCAGACUUUCCUUCAUUCUGCAACUGAAUUCCCAUAGCGUUACUCACAACAGCUCACCACCAAGAAGUUCAAGAAGCUUUUCACAAAUGGUUCAGUCGCAGCUCCCACACAGGGCUGUUCUGCACCGAGCAGCAAUGCCACACUAUUCCAGAGGCUAACAGACAACCUGCAUCCAUGGCUGGGACAGGGAGUCAACUGAGAGGGCUGCUGGAGCUGACUCUGAGUUUUCAGGUCACUCAACAACAAGCAGAUCUGCUGAGCCAGAGCAUGUAAACAUGUGGGAGACCCACUUCCAUCCCCUGCCUAGGAAAUACUCCUGAGUUCCCUUUCCCCUCAUUUCUCCAAGGUGUGCAAUAAAUUUAUAUGUUUUCAGCCACAUGGAAUCAAAAUAGGAUGGCAUUUUGAACAGUAAGAGAAGGAUGAUGACUGUUUAAGAAAAGUAAAAUCCACCACUAACCAGUGUUUUUUGGACCUGGCCAGCAAGUGGUAAUGCCAGAUCACAUUGUUUCUGUAUGCCUUGAACAAAAAGGCAUCAGACAAAGACUUCUGAAACAGUAAUGCAAAAGGAUGUGUAUGAUGUAUACAAGCUACUGAAAACUAUUCUGGUACACUAGAACUUGGACCUUCACAUGUAAGGCAGCUUGAGGGUAACAGAAGAACAAAGGUUACAAAACAAAGACAAAGUCUUCUCUGGAAGAGUCACUACACAGAUCUAAGCAGAUAAGUACCUUGGAUUCGUUUUGAUCCGAUUUUCGUGUUCUUUUCAUUAUUUCUUCAAUUCUCUGUUAAGAAGCGGAAAACAUUUGCAAUGACAGAGUUUUAUAUUUCAGCACCUGGUUUAAAUUUUCCAUCAGUCAUCAUAUAUUUUCUUAUUUCACACACUUACUACUUCACUCACUGUUUUUAAAGCUCAGAAGUCACAGCUGACUUAAAAACAACUCCUACUACUUCUGCUUAAAUGAAUCUGAGACAGACUGCCUGCUCAGUUUAUUUUAAUGCUAACACUUAACCCCUGUUCUAAGGGUAAGGGACUUCUCUGCUUUCAAAACAUCAUACCUUCUUUCUUUCAAGCCUUUCCUGCAUAUUUUGCUGCAUAAUUCUCUCUCUUUCCAGCCGCUGCCUUUCAGCUUCUUCUUGAGCCUUUGCUUCAGCUUCUUCCCUCUGAAAAUAAAGAAAACAGAAAGAAAAGCAUCCAAUGAAGAACUCAUCUCCAAGAAUUAAAAGCAGACCUGUUACAGAGAUUCUGGUGUAACACAGACAGGAACCUCAAUCACUAUUUAAUAGAAGCACACAUUGCAGCUAAAUGCCAACCAUACAGCUACUGACGUGACAUUUAUAUUACUGUGACAUUCAGAAACUGACUUGAAAAGAAAAACAGUACGCAUGGCUAUAUUAUCAUUAUGCAAAUGUUCAGGAUGUUGUUGGGCUACUUAGGGUUCAAACUUCAUGACAAAGUUUUUCCAAGAAGAAUAAUUUAUGGAGUAGCAGAACAGCAAGUGAAUUCUGUAUUAUGUAUUCUGUAUAUGUACCAUCUCACUGUAAAGCUGCUUUGAUUUUCUACAUCAAUCUCAUUUAAAGAAAGUCCACUUUUUUCAAAGCAGAGUUUCCUUCACUUAGAAAGAUGCCUUUAUAAAGGCACAAAGGGAUUAGCUGUGGAAAACUAUUUACCAAUUAGAAAAGCAGACUUGGAAGCACUGCUGAUCUUUCUUUUUGCUCACGUGGGAACAGAGGACAUCAGAUGACUUUCCGGGCAGACCAACUAUUUUCUUAUAACUCACAGCAGUAUGUUGGUUAAACAGUCAUAAUACAGAUACUUGCACAUGUGCAAAAUAACAUCCCAGAUGGCUAAAAAAAACCCCAAAGAACUUCAAAACGUGUGCUUCUGUCCCAUACUUGAACCUACCAAACGCUGACAGAAAUCACACAGAUGAAAGCAAGGCAAGGACUUCACAACAUUCUCCAACCAAUCUCAGGUGAAAGCAAACCUGGUGCUGAAGCUCUGCGAGCUUUUCCUGCUCUUCCUGUUCUCGGCGGAUUCUCUCCUCUUCAGCUUGUCGUUGUUGUUCCUCAUAAAUGAGCCUCUUUUCUUCCUCCUGCUUGCGGAGCUCCUCUUCCCGUCGUGCCUUUUCUUCAACCGCUCUCUUGGCCAUUUCUUCUUCUCUGAUUCUAGUGGUGCCAAGAUAGAAAUGUGCAUUUGUAAGCAUGCAUGCCUGUGAGACAGCCGAGGAAAGCAAGGAUUUCUACUUCAGCCAAUCACAGAGUAGCUGUAUAAGAACAGUUCCUGCUGUAGAUUCACAGAUGUCACCAUCCAGAUCAGUCCAAGGCAAUGCAGAAACACUUGGAGGAAACUAUGUGCACCUAGAUGUUCUUUGCUGAUUAAGACAAGCCCAAGACCAGUUGUUUCAAUAAUGGAAUGUUCCAUUCAGACAUGUAUUAUGAGACAACAACUUAACAACAGUCACUGCAUCCCUGAUAUGAAUGCAACUUUCAGUGUCUAACAAAUCUAGUCAGAUUUUAGAAAAGACUUUCCUCUCUAGCCAUAGUUCCAGUGAUACACUGGAGGUGUCACACUGGCAUACACAUGCAACCUGAUCCAAUAUGGGCAUGACAUAUUGCUGAUAAAACAUCAGUAUCAGACUGCAUUUAAUUUUCAGCCAGCGUUAUACCUGUGAGUAGAAAACAUACAAAAUGUGAUACUGUAAUGUUCAGAGAAGCACAGACUAAUCCCUCAUCUGGAGUAAAGUCAGCACAAAGCUGUAAUUUUUAACGACUUCUAUCUGGCAAACCAAAGGUAUUCUGAUUUGUUGCUUUGAAUUAUUUGGCUGCAACAUUUCUGAUCCAGAUGUGGGACCAGUAGAACGAGAUUUCACACACUCACCGCCUGAGUUCAUCAGAGGGAAGUUUUGUACAGAGAGGCUGAAUAUUUCAAGAUGACAAAGCAUAGAGUGUAAGAAGCACAUUCUAGAUUUGAAAAAGAAGUAGCAAGGGUGACUGUUUGGAAAAGAAAGCACUGUGACCAUGCAUCCCGUAUGUACUGAGGUACAGAUUAACGAUAUACACAGCAACUUGUCCCAUCUCAAACUUAACACUUAGGGAAACAUACAGCUGAAAUGUCCACACCACCCACACCCACUGCAGGAAGCGUCACUUCCUUCUCCCGCAGUUACCUUUCCUCUUCCUGCCUCUGAAUUCUCUCUUGGUCUUCCCUCUCUCUCUGCUCCCGUGCUAAACGCCGUUUUUCUGCCAAGAUUUUAGCAGCUUCUUCAGCUGUGGUGGUCCCGGCUGCUGCUUUGCUACCUGACUCUGCAAAGUGGAAAAGAAACUGCUGUUAAAAAGGCCUGGUAACUUAAAAUUAAGAAAGAUGCCAUCACCAUCUGAUGACAAUUCUUUUUUUGCCACUACCACUGGGAUCAGCCCCACCACCCAGCAGCAAGCAUCUCUGCAUACAGAGACCCACGUGAGCCAAAGAGUGGUCCUAAAGGGGUGCCCAAUGAUGCUGAAAUAAUUCAUUUCAACCACACUGUUCCAGCCAUGCUGCAGACAAUAUGGUUAAUGAUACCCUCCAAUUACCACAGAACUUUAUAACAUAUUCCUAGAAGACAGACUCAUUCUGGAACAAUUAGAAGCAUCUAAAGAAAAGGGGGAAAAAAUUGCUUUAGGAAAUACAUUAAAUUUCCUUCCGAUAAAACGAAACCUACAUUCAUAAUUACAAAGAGGAAAUACUAAUUUUUAAAUUUGUCUUCUUUCAAUAACAUUAACAUUAAUGCCUUUGUAUUUAUAGAGUAUCAUCAUUUUACCUGGCCUCGAAGGCUCACACUAAUUACUUCAGUAAUAUCGUGUGUUCGCAACAAAUCACUUUCCAAUUUACAUGCAGAUGAGAACGGCUCCAGCUACCAGGUUAACAGGUUUUUAUACAGCCCUGCCAUUUAUGGCUGCCUGGUGUCACCACGUCUGAACCUCAGAGAUACUAUUAUAAAUUAACAUUAAAAAAACCCCACAAACAAAUCUCGUCAGCCAGUCACAUUCAAUAAACGUUUAAAGAACUCUGAUUGCUAUCAGUUAUCCCCACUCCCUAUAAAUAUGACUUUUUCCAUGACAGUAGGUCAUCCACGUAUUCACAGAAUUAGCUCUCAGUGUCAGCAGAGCAAUACCAGGAGAAUAUUGGGGAGGAAUGCCUUUCUUUUUUAAUAUUUCACAAAUUAGCACAUCCAUGUCUGCUUAACAUUUACAAAGCCUUCCAGCUGAGGUCAUUUCAACAAACGUGACAUCAGUUAUUUUUUGCUUCCGAGCUGAAGACAAAAUAUUCAAAAACACAAUGCCAUCAAUUAGGCACUUUAAUACCAAAAAUCUGCUUACGUCCCACGGACACAUCGUUGCUACCUGCGGCUACAAAGCCUCAUUUCACCAAGUACACUCUCAGCAGCUGAAUCAGCCUCGUGUUUUGUGCGUAAGAACUGUCCUUACAGCCCCAGGGAAAAGAUUCCAUACUGGCAGAGAGCAGCCACCAGCUCUAGCACACACUGCAUGUGCCUGGAGUAAGAGCCUCAGUCACAGAAAGGAGCUCACCUUCUUUGGUCUUUGUGUUAGCUGCUACUGCAUCCCUGUCCAAGGCUGACGGGGCACCGUGCUCAUGUCCCGCUCCUUCUGUGCUCUUCUCCUUUGGUUUGCUCUCUGCUUCAGUUUUCUUUUUGGUAAUGUUGAUAACACCUGGUGUGAGAGGUGGGCGUUGGAUGGGCGCUGGUUUAGAGACGGGAGUAGGAGAUGGCGGCCUUUGUUUCGAUAUGCCAGGCGAAGGCGGGCGAGUCUUCUG